rnacentral:rRNA from 1 species
AGUGAACGCUGGCGGUAGGCCUAACACAUGCAAGUCGAACGGCAGCACAGUAAGAGCUUGCUCUUACGGGUGGCGAGUGGCGGACGGGUGAGGAAUACAUCGGAAUCUACUUUUUCGUGGGGGGUAACGUAGGGAAACUUACGCUAAUACCGCAUACGACCUAUGGGUGAAAGCAGGGGAUCUUCGGACCUUGCGCGAUUGAAUGAGCCGAUGUCGGAUUAGCUAGUUGGCGGGGUAAAGGCCCACCAAGGCGACGAUCCGUAGCUGGUCUGAGAGGAUGAUCAGCCACACUGGAACUGAGACACGGUCCAGACUCCUACGGGAGGCAGCAGUGGGGAAUAUUGGACAAUGGGCGCAAGCCUGAUCCAGCCAUACCGCGUGGGUGAAGAAGGCCUUCGGGUUGUAAAGCCCUUUUGUUGGGAAAGAAAAGCAGCAGGUUAAUACCCCGCUGUUCUGACGGUACCCAAAGAAUAAGCACCGGCUAACUUCGUG